rnacentral:rRNA from 1 species
UACGUAGGGGGCAAGCGUUGUCCGGAAUCAUUGGGCGUAAAGCGCGUGUAGGCGGUUCAGUAAGUCUGCUGUGAAAAUCCAGGGCUCAACCCUGGGAUGCCGGUGGAUACUGCUGGGCUAGAGUACGGAAGAGGCGAGUGGAAUUCCCGGUGUAGCGGUGAAAUGCGCAGAUAUCGGGAGGAACACCAAUUGCGAAGGCAGCUCGCUGGGACGUUACUGACACUGAGGCGCGAAAGCGUGGGGAGCGAACAGG